CCCGCUGAACUUAAGCAUAUCAAUAAGCGGAGGACAAGAAACCAACAGGGAUUGCCUCAGUAACGGCGAGUGAAGCGGCAACAGCUCAAAUUUGAAAUCUGGCUCUCGGGCCCGAAUUGUAAUUUGUAGAGGAUGCUUCGGGGGCGGUACCGUUCUAAGUCCUUUGGAACAGGGCGUCAUAGAGGGUGAGAAUCCCGUAUGCGAGCGGCCGCCAACCCCAUGUGAAGCUCCUUCGACGAGUCGAGUUGUUUGGGAAUGCAGCUCAAAAUGGGUGGUAAAUUUCAUCUAAAGCUAAAUACCGGCUGGAGACCGAUAGCGCACAAGUAGAGUGAUCGAAAGAUGAAAAGCACUUUGGAAAGAGAGUUAAAAAGUACGUGAAAUUGUUGAAAGGGAAGCGCUUGCAGCCAGACUUGCCGCGGGGUGCUCACCCGUCCUUCGGGACGGGGCACUCGCCCCGUGGCAGGCCAGCAUCGGUUCGGGCGGCUGGAUAAAGGCCUUGGGAACGUAGCUCCCUUCGGGGAGUGUUAUAGCCCGGGGCGCCAUGCGGCCAGCCUGGAUCGAGGACCGCGCUUCGGCAAGGAUGCUGGCGUAAUGGCUGUCAGCGACCCGUCUUGAAACACGG
rnacentral:rRNA from 1 species